UCUCUCUCUCUCUCUCUCUCUCUCUCUCUCUCUCUCUCUCUGUGUGUGUGUGUGUGUGAGAGAGAGAGAGAGAGAGAGAGAGAGAGAGAGAGA
rnacentral:miRNA from 1 species